rnacentral:lncRNA from 1 species
ACAAACCAGUUGUAGCAAUGCAUCCGGGGUAGAGGGAAGCAAAUGUUAUGCCGGUUUCCUCGUGAUAUCGCUUGUGGAACUCUUGCAUAGUGAGCAUGUUGCAUACUUUGCUGUCCUUGUAUGCCUUGGCCCCAUCAAACUCACCACCGUCGAUCAUUGAAGAGCUGUUUAGGCCGUUUAGUCCUCCAGCGAGUCCUCUAAGGUCACCAAGGUUGGCCUUAGGAGGCACAUUUCCAGCCAAGGUAUUUGUGUUCC